GAUGAACGCUGGCGGCGUGCCUAAUACAUGCAAGUCGAGCGAACAGAUGAGGAGCUUGCUCCUCUGACGUUAGCGGCGGACGGGUGAGUAACACGUGGAUAACCUACCUAUAAGACUGGGAUAACUUCGGGAAACCGGAGCUAAUACCGGAUAAUAUAUUGAACCGCAUGGUUCAAUAGUGAAAGACGCUUUUGCUGUCUCUUAUAGAUGGAUCCGCGCCGCAUUAGCUAGUUGGUAAGGUAACGGCUUACCAAGGCAACGAUGCGUAGCCGACCUGAGAGGGUGAUCAGCCACACUGGAACUGAGACACGGUCCAGACUCCUACGGGAGGCAGCAGUAGGGAAUCUUCCGCAAUGGGCGAAAGCCUGACGGAGCAACGCCGCGUGAGUGAUGAAGGUCUUCGGAUCGUAAAACUCUGUUAUUAGGGAAGAACAAAUGUGUAAGUAACUAUGCACGUCUUGACGGUACCUAAACAGAAAGCCACGGCUAACUACGUG
rnacentral:rRNA from 1 species